rfam:Strongyloides ratti strain ED321 Heterogonic genome assembly, chromosome: 1
AUCUCUUGGGUUUGGGCAAUCAAACGUGAAAUUUUUUCGCCUUUUACUAAAAAAUUCCGUGUCCAAACCCAUUAAAGGGCUUAUUUGAUUUUUUGGAGGCUUCCCUUAGGGGAAGCG